CUACUGCUCACCAUUCAUGUGAAGUGACGCACUUUUCGUGGAUCUCUUCCUAUUCUCAAACCACUCAUGCAUUAGGUCCUCAAAGCUGUUUGAUAAAUGGGACCGGAUCUGACAGCACAAAAUCGUUCAAGAAAAGUACCACCUGGAGUUACCAUACAGAAGGAGAUGCCCAUCGAACGACCCAGUAACAGCCAUCUUGGUUGUAAGGUUUUCAACAGCAAAACACAUCCCAUACUGAUCUUCACGAAUAUUUACAAGAGUAAAAGAAUCUUAGGGUCACUGAGAUGGGACAGUGGAUGUGCAGGAUAGUAGAGGGAUUCUGAGAGCAUCAGUAAUGCUGAGUUCCAACUGAAUCUCAACACAGUACCUCUCUAAAGCAGUGUUUCUCAAACUAAUUCUUGGGGACCCCCAUACGGUCCACGUUUUUACUCCCUCCCAACUCCCAGGGAAUUGGGGGGAGAAGAAAAAUGUGGAUCGUCUGGGGGGUCCCUGAGGACUGGUUUGAGAAAUGUUGCUCUAAAGAACAUCUGGCUUUCACCUGCUUCCUCACACAUUCAUAAGCAUGAUAUGCAAAACAAAAUAUUUACACUGGAAAAACGGUCAGCUAUCGUAAGUUAUAAAUAUAUCAACAUCUUCUAACAAAUGUAUAUAAUUUAAUAAAAAUAUUGUUCCGAUGCUGUUUUUUUGACUUUCAGAUGUCCCGUUUUCCCGUGUCGGAAGACUGCUGACGUGUUGGUCAUUGUGUUUCUGUGUUGAUCUGUUUUUCCUGAGAUGGGGUCGUGGUCUUCGGCAACAGUGGGCAUGUCGCUCACCAUGACGUCACCACCGAGGAGGUGGAGCCAGGUGAGGACAUUAGGGAUGGAGUCAAUGUGUCAGAACUCCAAUCAUACUGCAGCACUCCCACCAUGUAAGUAAACAGCUGUAGUCUCCUCCGCUGCUGAUACUGCUGUCGAUAUUUCCGUGAUGUUUGUAUUUGUGUGUGUUCUGGCAUUUAUUAGUAUUCCUGCCAAACACAAAUAAACCCAUCUGUUCAUUCAGCACAGUGAGACAAGUUCCAACACUCUCUGCAAACCUUAUUACAUUUUAAAUUAAUAAAGUAUCAGUGCUUCCACUUCCUGUGGCGACACUCUGAAGUUGGCUAACCCUAAACCUAACCCUAACCCUAACCCUAACCCUUGCCCUUUAUCAUCUGGUUCCUCUGUGUUUGAUACCACAUACUGUAUGAUUUCCUUUCUCGUCACGAUCCUCCGUGCCGAACUGGUCGCAUUUUUCAUGUCAGCGAGCCGUUCGGCACCUGGGAUCUGCCCUCCAAAUUAGUGUCCUCCGUGUUCCUCCGUUCUUCAGAUGUUCUCUUAGGUGUUUCGGCUUGGUUUUGGCUUCUAUCCAAGCAGCGUGUGACCACGUGGUUUCGGUAAGGGGAGGGGGGUUCUGUCCACCGAAACAAGACGUGGCAUCUGCUAGGUCAGUGCUGCUAUCCGCCGGUCCACGCUGGCUUUGCCUGUACAAGAAGGAGUACAAACAUCGGUGUGCUGAUGCAUGCCAACUCCCACACACUGUAUACCUCAAUGCUCUGCAGGUAUGUACAGGUUUAGUUUGGACAGGUACAGCUUCUCAUAUAGAGAUGCUCCUCGCUUUACGAUGGUUUGACUUUUGGCUUUACGGUGGUACAACAGUGAUGCAUAUUCACAUUGAUCUGUUCCCAGUUAGCGAUAUGCUGUACUUUCUACUAAAGCAGGAUGAUGGCAGCAUUCACCCCGUAUAAUCUUGUAUUCCUUUAUUUACUUUUCAGUUGCUGGUAUUUAGUUAGUUCCAGUAAUUAUUCAUUUACUUUUACAGUGACAAUAGUUAUUUACUAAUUCAUCCAUCCAUCCAUUUUCUGAACCGGCUUUUUCCAAUUCAGGAUCGGGGGGGGGGGGGUCUUGAGUCUAUCCUGGAAGCUACAGCCUUAAGGCAGGGAAUAACCUAGGAUGGGGUGCCCACCUAUCACAGAACACACUCACACACCAUUCAUUAAUUUAUUUGUCAUAAAAUAUUCAUAUUUGACUUAAGAUAAUUUUUUUAUGUUGGGUUCACUGGAUCAUAAUCCCAUCGUAAGUCAAGGAGCAUCUGUACUGAUUUAAUAAAAAAGAAUUUAAAGAACACUUGACUAACAAGUGAAUGUUUUAUAUGUGUGGGACACUGACCAUCCCUCAGUGCAUUAUGGGAUAGUGUCUUUAUUAUAGAAAGGGCCAAUAGAGAGGCCAGACACACUCACACUUGUUGACGUUCUCAAUAUCGAUGGGGUCCUGCAGAAUUUUGGACAAGCCCUGCAGGAGCACAGACGCCGCCGUGUAGCGCUGGCUGAUGUCGGCCCCCUGCUGGAACAUCUCGUCCAGCGCAGCAGACUUCACCUGAGCCGGCAGCAGAAGUGGAAUACCACAGUAAAAUAUUAUGGCACACAGAUGGGUUUAACAGAUAUGGUGGUUCUGCGAUAGUUACGUUGUAAGGUUGGCUGUGUGGUUGCGCUGGACAAAUGAAGCUUCAUGAACCAUUUGCAGUAUUUUCUGACACCACUAGGUGGUGCUAUCUAUUCAGAAAAAGGGCUCAACUCGUGCCCCAAAGCAAACCGAGAGCGCCAUCUAGUGGGGUCAAAAAAUGGUCCAUGAAGCAUCCUUUGGCAAUCACUACUAGACGGAACUGCCGAUCGAACCAUGUCUCAGAAUCAUAUCGGUAAGUACCUGAUUAGGCAAUAUCAUUCAGGAUUUGGUAUUUGCAUUAUUCACAGUAGGUAGCUGUGCGGUACUAGACUCAGACUCAUGCUUCUGCAUGAAGAAGGACAGUGCGGGGAUGUGGGUGUCAAAGGCAGCUCCAGGCCAACGCACACGGAACCUCACCAUGUCCACCGCGUGGUUGUAGAUGAGUUUCUCCGCAGCUACGCUGGCGACCUCAUCCACAAAGCGCUGCUUGUCAGAGAAGAAGCCAUGGAGCUGCUCAGUGAGGAGGCGGCAGGACGCGACGCUGGUCUUGUAGCGAUCGUUCAGAUCCCUCACCACUAGGACAGUGGGGUAGAGAGACGUGACAGAGCUUCUGAGGAACACAAUGCUACACAGAAGUAGGUCAGCCUGUACCACAGGGACGUCAUAUUUAGAGCAUCAUUCUACUAUAGAGGAGUGAAAACAAGGACGUUUGGAGGGCGGACGUCUGUUGCUAUUAAGAAACCGUCUUUACAAGCAGGGAAAACCACCACAGACCCCUCACACACAGGCCACAACCUCUUUGAACUUCUCCCUUCUGGUGAGCGCUACACAUAGCUUGUGCAAAACAAUUUCGGUACCAGGACACAAGCCAUCACUCUUAUGAAGAGCUGACCCAGUUCCCUCAGCCCAAUUGCAGUGUUAUCACACCCAUCACCACGCAAAACCUGAAAUAACUCUCUGCUUAUUGUGUUGUAUGCAUUGUAUUUAUUCCAACAUUGUUUGCACUGAAAUGCAGACUUGCACUUUUCGUACAUCUAUCAUCCACACGUGCACAGUGUAUAUGUCAACUGGACUGUGUGUGACCAUCUACUGUUCUGACAGCCAUAGACAACCAGAGACAAAUUCCCUGUGUGUGUGUGUGUGAACAUACUUGGCCAAUAAACCUGAUCCGAAUUCUCAGACUGUGUAUUUUAUGGAACUCCUGAGAAGACUGAGCUCUAUAACCCAGAUUUCUCAGCAUCAGUAGACCGUGAUGCCCUCACCGGCCAUCUGUGGCAUGGCCCCAAGGACUGGGGUUUAAGGGGGCGUGAGGUCUCCCUUCUGGUCUUGUUGCUUAAGUUGAAUCACUUCAGUAAAUCCCACCUGUGCAUUUUAAAGCUUCUGAGGAUAAGAUGCGCUACCCAAUGAAAUAUUCUUACAUAAGCAUUACUAUUUAUGUCUCAGACUUUACUCUUCAAAUUUUCAUCAGGACUUCGCAACCUUGCAGCACGCAGCACAUUGCUGGCUGUCAUUCAGUAUAGCGAGUCUUUGAUGAACAUAUUGGAUUAAAAAGCACGGGGAAGCAUUCAGUCAGCUUGUCAGUAAAACCUUCAUCUGCCACUAAUGGUGCCUUUCCACUGACAUACAGGAACAGCAUCACUGCUAGCAUUUUUUUAAAUAGGAGGUUGGAAAUUCUCAAGUUCCGAUUUAUCGGAAAUGUACCAGUAUAUUGCGAUGUGUGAUACUAACAAUAAUGAAUAAUAUAGAAUAUACACUUUUUACUUCAGAUAAUCCCUACACAGAAGACUGGUAUCUCCAUGCAUUUCCACCAAUCAGAUGGUGAUGAGGCAACCAGCUCAGUUUGGUCACACGUCGGCCCUGCCAGUAAGCUGAACUACGUCAGCGCAGUUACAACUUGAGUACGGCUUGGGUAUUACCCAAGUGUGGCUCGGGUACGGCCCGGGUACAGCUGGACACUUGGUGGUAGUGAAGAAGCGUCAUAAGAAGCCUAAUUUGCCAUGAAAAUUCAAGAACGUACGGCAGGGCCUGCUCAGGACCCUGAGAAUCAUUCAGUCAGCUCCUCCGUUAAGUCAUAGUGAAGCGGAGGUCCUGAGGUCCAGAGAUCAUCCUCAGACCCGGAACUAGCAGCUCUGCAGCCCGGGGUUAACAGAUGAACUGUUAACCCUGCAGGGACCCACCUUGUUUGACGGCAGACGAGGGCUGCAGCUUGGCCGACGUGACCUGAGCUUUGGCGCAGUGCAGAGCAGAUGCCAGAACCUGCGCCAGCUUCAUGUGGAGGACGAGCUGCUCCACCUGCCUGCAGCGGGCAACACAAGGCACAGGCGCCUCUUACAGUGCCGCUAAGGACGGAUGCAUGCAAAAAACCAAGAUAAUUACAAAGCAUUUCCAUUGUGUAUUAUCUUAGAGAAUUAAAUGGGCAUUUCCCCUGCGUUCUAUGUCUAUGUCUUACUAUAUGAAACAUGACACAACUGCCCGGAUUUACAGUUGGGCUGUGACGGUACGCAUAUUUACUGGGGGCCGUUCUGUUGCGUCAUUUUUGAUGCGGUAAGCACAAUAAAACAAAUGAACAUGUUCCUUGACGCAGGUGGAUCCUGAAUUCACAAGCAGAUUUUUGACAGCAUUAUGGUAAUGUCUUGGGUAUGGCUAAUGCUGGUUAGGGUCGGUCAUAAUCAGCGGUUUGGGACCAAUUUGGUUUCUCAGUAAAGUACACCAGCACUUGAGAGAGAAUAGUGGAUAAGACCAAGACUAUCUGCUAGCAGGUAACCUGAAAUCAGAUAUGAUUUUAAGGCCCUAAAUAACUAAAGCUACAAGGAUGUUUGUAGCUAUGGGGUUGUGGCCAAAUUCAGCAGUAGAGAACAGGAUCAUUUACUUCAUUAUAAUUGCUACUUAUUUUACAUUUAUUUUUACAGUAUGCAAAUAAACGUCUGUUAGGUUUUGUUAUUCAGACACAUAAACAAACGCACUGCCAAAUGAAUUCUAAUUGCACUUCUAAUAAUAAACAAUUAAAAAACAAA